rnacentral:lncRNA from 1 species
UUGAGGCAUGCGUAUAAGAAAUUCUAGAAACCCUAAGUAAAAAAAUGGUUCAAAGCAAAGGAUCUUUCAGAAUAAACUCAAGAAUAAGUAAAACAUAGAGGAAAACAUGAAAAUAUCAUGAAGUAACACUGUUUUUGAGAGAUUCGGGAGAUAGCUAGGGUAUUAAAAAAGGGAAAACCUAAUCGAAGUGGAGAGAACCUGUCGAAACUUCAUAGAUCGUGACAUAUAAGGUGUGAUUUUUCCUGAGAUCACACCGGAGAACUCGCAAGUAGCAGAACCAGGAACUUUAGGUCUCAAUCACCAUGGUCCAUAAGCUCGAAGGUCCUAGAGGUGUUGAACAGAACGAUGAGAAGCCCAUCAGAGCCUUGAGGUUGAAGUGAGGUGGCCGGAGAUGACCAGAAACAAACUAGGCGAAGCUUUCAGGGAUUAAUUCACAUGGUGGUGCUUUUAGGGCCUCAAAAUAGAGGGAAUCGGUGAGCUAGGGUUUCAUGGCGGUUGAUGGUCGAAUGGGGUGAGAUUGGAGGUGGCCGGAGAGGAGGUGGAGAUCACCGGAGAAGAGAGAACCAGAAAGUUCUAGAGAGAAGAGAGGGGAAGAGACG